rnacentral:rRNA from 1 species
CCAAUAGCGUAUAUUUAAGUUGUUGCAGUUAAAAAGCUCGUAGUUGGAUUUUGGGUGGGAGGGGUUGGUCCGCUCUUGCGGGCGUGUACCGGCCCUUUCGCCUUUCUUGCCGGGUAUGCGUUCCUUGCCUUUAUUGGCUGGGAUCCAGAGCCGGCGCUGUUACUUUGAAAAAAUUAGAGUGUUCAAAGCAGGCCUGUGCUCUGAACAUAUUAGCAUGGAAUAACGCGAUAGGACUCUGGUCCUAUUUCGUUGGUCUUCGGGAUUGGAGUAAUGAUUAAUAGAGACGGUUGGGGGCAUUCGUAUUCCAUUGUCAGAGGUGAAAUUCUUGGAUUUAUGGAUGACGAACUUCUGCGAAAGCAUUUGCCAAGGACGUUCUCAUUAAUCAAGAACGAAAGUUGGGGGAUCGAAGACGAUCAGAUACCGUCCUAGUCUCAACCAUAAACGAUGCCGACUAGGGAUUGGCGGAUGUCUAUUGGAUGACUCUGCCAGCACCUUGUGAGAAAUCAAAGUUUACGGGUUCCGGGGGGAGUAUGGUCGCAAGGCUGAAACUUAAAGGAAUUGACGGAAGGGCACCACCAGGCGUGGAGCCUGCGGCUUAAUUUGACUCAACACGGGGAAACUCACCAGGUCCAGACAUAGCAAGGAUUGACAGAUUGAGAGCUCUUUCUUGAUUCUAUGGGUGGUG